rnacentral:rRNA from 1 species
UACGGAGGGUGCAAGCGUUAUCCGGAUUUAUUGGGUUUAAAGGGUCCGUAGGCGGACCAUUAAGUCAGUGGUGAAAGCCCUCUGCUCAACAGAGGAACUGCCAUUGAUACUGAUGGUCUUGAGUAUAAGUGAGGUUGGCGGAAUGUGUGGUGUAGCGGUGAAAUGCUUAGAUAUCACACAGAACACCGAUUGCGAAGGCAGCUGGCCAACUUAUAACUGACGCUGAGGGACGAAAGUGUGGGGAUCAAACAGG